GGGCCUAUAGCUCAACUGGGAGAGCACCAGAUUUGCAUUCUGGGGGUUAGGAGUUCGAGUCUCCUUAGGUCCA
rnacentral:tRNA from 2 species